rnacentral:rRNA from 1 species
AUGCACGCUGGCGGCGUGCCUAAUCCCUGCCAGUCGAGCGAACGGACGAGAAGCUUGCUUCUCUGAUGUUAGCGGCGGACGGGUGAGUAACACGUGGAUAACCUACCUAUAAGACUGGGAUAACUUCGGGAAACCGUAGCUAAUACCGGAUAAUAUUUUGAACCGCAUGGUUCAAAAGUGAAAGACGGUCUUGCUGUCACUUAUAGAUGGAUCCGCGCUGCAUUAGCUAGUUGGUAAGGUAACGGCUUACCAAGGCAACGAUGCAUAGCCGACCUGAGAGGGUGAUCGGCCACACUGGAACUGAGACACGGUCCAGACUCCUACGGGAGGCAGCAGUAGGAAAUCUUCCGCAAUGGGCGAAAGCCUGACGGAGCAACGCCGCGUGAGUGAUGAAGGUCUUCGGAUCGUAAAACUCUGUUAUUAGGGAAGAACAUAUGUGUAAGUAACUGUGCACAUCUUGACGGUACCUAAUCAGAAAGCCACGGCUAACUACGUG